rnacentral:lncRNA from 1 species
CAUCUAAGUAAUCACUAGUGCAAGAAAUCCUAUAAUUUCGUACAGGUCUUAUAAUUGCUCGAUUAAAAUUUUCGAACUACCUCAACUUAAGAAAUUCGAUCCCAAAUUCAAAUUUUUCAAUACCAAUAAAAAUCAACUUAUUACAUCACCACUUGCAAAUAAUACGCUUUCCUUUCUGAUAAGCUUGCAACCUUCAAUAGGAUCAAAACCAGGAGGCAGAUUU